rfam:Schistosoma rodhaini strain Burundi genome assembly, scaffold: SROB_contig0003311
AUCCGGUUGACGAGUUCCAAACAGGACGAAUCGCGCGUCCUGGAU